rnacentral:rRNA from 1 species
GACGAACGCUGGCGGCGUGCUUAACACAUGCAAGUCGAACGGAAAGGCCCUGCUUUUGUGGGGUGCUCGAGUGGCGAACGGGUGAGUAACACGUGAGUAACCUGCCCUUGACUUUGGGAUAACUUCAGGAAACUGUGGCUAAUACCGGAUAGGAGCUCCUGCUGCAUGGUGGGGGUUGGAAAGUUUCGGCGGUUGGGGAUGGACUCGCGGCUUAUCAGCUUGUUGGUGGGGUAGUGGCUUACCAAGGCUUUGACGGGUAGCCGGCCUGAGAGGGUGACCGGCAACAUUGGGACUGGGAUACGGCCAAGACUCCUACGGGAGGCAGCAGUGGGGAAUAUUGCACAAUGGGCGGAAGCCUGAGGCAGCAACGCCGCGUGCGGGAUGACGGCCUUCGGGUUGUAAACCGCUUUCGCCUGUGACGAAGCGUGAGUGACGGUAAUGGGUAAAGAAGCACCGGCUAACUACGUG